rnacentral:rRNA from 1 species
GUGGGGAAUAUUGGACAAUGGGCGAAAGCCUGAUCCAGCAAUGCCGCGUGGGUGAAGAAGGUCUUCGGAUUGUAAAGCCCUUUCGGCGGGGACGAUGAUGACGGUACCCGCAGAAGAAGCCCCGGCUAACUUCGUGCCAGCAGCCGCGGUAAUACGAAGGGUGCAAGCGUUACUCGGAAUUACUGGGCGUAAAGCGUGCGUAGGUGGUUGUUUAAGUCUGAUGUGAAAGCCCUGGGCUCAACCUGGGAAUGGCAUUGGAAACUGGGCAGCUAGAGUGCGGUAGAGGGUAGUGGAAUUCCCGGUGUAGCAGUGAAAUGCGUAGAGAUCGGGAGGAACAUCUGUGGCGAAGGCGACUGCCUGGACCAGCACUGACACUGAGGCACGAAAGCGUGGGGAGCAAACA